AUUGAACGCUGGCGGCAGGCCUAACACAUGCAAGUCGAACGGUAACAGGAAACAGCUUGCUGUUUCGCUGACGAGUGGCGGACGGGUGAGUAAUGUCUGGGAAACUGCCUGAUGGAGGGGGAUAACUACUGGAAACGGUAGCUAAUACCGCAUAACGUCGCAAGACCAAAGAGGGGGACCUUCGGGCCUCUUGCCAUCGGAUGUGCCCAGAUGGGUUUAGCUAGUAGGUGGGGUAACGGCUCACCUAGGCGACGAUCCCUAGCUGGUCUGAGAGGAUGACCAGCCACACUGGAACUGAGACACGGUCCAGACUCCUACGGGAGGCAGCAGUGGGGAAUAUUGCACAAUGGGCGCAAGCCUGAUGCAGCCAUGCCGCGUGUAUGAAGAAGGCCUUCGGGUUGUAAAGUACUUUCAGCGGGGAGGAAGGGAGUAAAGUUAAUACCUUUGCUCAUUGACGUUACCCGCAGAAGAAGCACCGGCUAACUCCGUG
rnacentral:rRNA from 1 species